UGUAAGCACUAAGGAUACAAAUAUAAACAAGCAUGACAGUCUGACCUCAAGGAGCUUACAUUCUAAUAAAGAGAAACAGCACAGUUAAGGGAAUUAGAGAUGGGGAACAGGGGGAGUUGAGGGCACAUGAAAUCAAAACCAGGUAGGAAGAGGAUGAGGUACACAUAAUCCCAUUAUCCUAAUUGCUACUAGAAUUGUCCUGACAAUGCUUUCAGUGAGCCUACACAUGAGCUCACUCUCCAAUACUUAUUAUUCAAUGACACAAAAUAGUCAUUUUUUUCACCCAUGCAAUACUCCACAGAAUAUAAAAUAUUAAAAAACAGGAGACUGACUUGUACCCAGAUCAUUUCUAACUAAAGAAAUUGCAUGAAAAAAAUGAUAAUAAAUUUCACACUUAUAAAGCCCUUUGCAAAGUAUUUCACAGCUAUAAGGUCCUUAUGACAACGAAUUGUUAGGGUUCCGCAACUUUUCGGAGACAGACAUACCCAAAAUUAUAGGGAAGGACUCAGAAGGUUAUUUCCAAAGACACAGCUGCCAAUGAAGUUGUGACAGCAUCAUCCCUGCCCAGAUGUGGUCUAUGCCUAAGACCACCAGCAUCUUAAAGUAAAAUCCAAUGUUAUGAGACUUUCUUCAGGGCAAUACACAACUCAGGAGAAGUCAAACACAAACACACACAGGAAACUACUCAGGCAUUCAGCCCCAGAGCUACACUGUAACAUCACAGUAUGGUCUCACCUGACUCUCUCAUUCUUUCUCCAUCCAAAACCCACAGCACCACGGUUAUAAGAAAAGGACUAGUCUGACAUCUACCCAGACGUUCAGCCUCCCCCUGGCUUUAUUUGCUGCCUACAGGCAACCUCAGAGUGGGAAAGAAGAUGUUACCCUCCAAACAGAAACUGACAACAGCUGCUGCCUUCCUGACCCACAGUUCAUCUACCCUGCCUUACUGAUGAAGGGAAAAACAACAACUAGAGAAACAACUUCAUGAAGCAAGUAAUCCGAGUAUUAUUUUGCAUCAUCUACAUUUUACGAAUGAAAAAACUGAAGCUCAAAAAGGUGUUGAUGGGCUUAUGCAACAGUCUGCUUCUACCCAGCAAGAAUACAUUUGAAACUAAUCCAGGAGUUACAUGUGUACCAUUAAUGUACUAUGAAUCCUGAGUUAAGAAGAAAUGAGGAUGAGUAAUGCAGGAUUUGGAUGUGAAACUCAAGAGUCUGAUGGACGCUUCAGUAAAUACAUACUUUGGAAAAAUUACCUGGAAGCUCAAAAGGAAGUAGACCUGUGGAGUUUAAAUUGCCAACUUUGCCUCUCAGCCACCUGCUCUGAACAGCUGCAUGUGUUUAGAAGGUGUUUCUAAGUGUGGUUUUUGGAAGUUCUACUUGUUUCUCUCUCUAUCCCCCCAGUGCUUGUGCUCUCUCUCUCUCUCUCUCUCUCUCUCUCUCUCUCUCUCUGUCUCUCUCUGUAAUAGCUGCAACCAAUAAAAGAAUGGGCAGAUUAAAAAAAUCUAGGCCACGAACAUAUCCAAUUUUCAGAUUUAAAUGGUGCUGGAGAGGUUAAGGGCAGAGGGUGGAAAUUACUCACAGAUCCCAGCUCAGAUGCCGUGCACCUACCAUUCUCAUCUGCUUCCACGCUUCCACUGGAACUUCCAUGCACGAAAGGCAUAAAUCAGAGACUAAGGCAUAUUGGAUACUGUUUUCCAUAGACAUUUGUAUAUGAUGAAGCCUACAUCAAAGGAAGUGACUAAGUGAUCAGUCUGUUAUUAUUGUGUCUUUGCCUAUGACAUAUAAGGAUAAUAGCUAGCAUUUUACAGCACUCUAAGUUUUGCACAUAAGCUAUGUCAUUUUACAGAGAAAAAACCUGAGACUGAGAAGUGAUUUACCCACGGUCACACAGAAAGUAUCUGAGGUAAAGAUUGAACUCAGUACUUUCUGACUCAAAAUCCAGAGCCCUAUCCAUUCACUACAUAGCUACCUACAAAUGUAACUGAUUAGUGGGCAUUGUGCUCUAACAUGGGGGAAAAGCAUGAAUCUGAUGUUUUUUAAUGUUAAUAAAAUAUUUUAAUUGA